rnacentral:rRNA from 1 species
GACGUAGGGAGCAAGCGUUGUCCGGAUUUACUGGGCGUAAAGAGCGCGUAGGCGGCUCGUUAAGUGUGAAGUGAAAUCUCCAGUGCUCAACACGGAAACUGCUUUACAUACUGGCGAGCUUGAGGAAAGCAGAGGCAACUAGAAUUCCUGGUGUAGCGGUGAAAUGCGUUGAUAUCAGGAGGAAUACCAAUGGCGAAGGCAGGUUGCUGGGCUUUAUCUGACGCUGAGGCGCGAAAGCGUGGGUAGCAAACAGGAUUAGAUACCCUGGUAGUCCACGCCCUAAACGAUGGAUACUAGACGUAAGAGGUAUCGACCCCUCUUGUGUCGCAGCUAACGCAUUAAGUAUCCCGCCUGGGGACUACGGCCGCAAGGUUG